rnacentral:rRNA from 1 species
UACGGGGGGAGCAAGCGUUGUUCGGAUUUACUGGGCGUAAAGGGCGCGUAGGCGACCACCGCAAGUCAGUUGUGAAAUCUCUGGGCUUAACCCAGAAAGGUCAACUGAUACUGCGGGGCUAGAGUGCAGAAGGGGCAACUGGAAUUCUCGGUGUAGCGGUGAAAUGCGUAGAUAUCGAGAGGAACACCUGCGGCGAAGGCGGGUUGCUGGGCUGACACUGACGCUGAAGCGCGAAGGCGUGGGGAGCGAACGGG